CCUACGGGAGGCAGCAGUGGGGAAUAUUGGACAAUGGGGGCAACCCUGAUCCAGCAAUGCCGCGCGAGUGAUGAAGGCCUUCGGGUUGUAAAGCUCUUUCACCCACGACGAUGAUGACGGUAGUGGGAGAAGAAGCCCCGGCUAACUUCGUGCCAGCAGCCGCGGUAAUACGAAGGGGGCUAGCGUUGUUCGGAGUUACUGGGCGUAAAGGGCGCGUAGGCGGCCUGGUCAGUCUGGUGUGAAAGCCCGGGGCUCAACCCCGGAAUUGCACUGGAGACGGCCAAGCUUGAGUGUGGGAGAGGAUGGUGGAAUUCCCAGUGUAGAGGUGAAAUUCGUAGAUAUUGGGAAGAACACCGGUGGCGAAGGCGGCCAUCUGGACCAUUACUGACGCUGAGGCGCGAAAGCGUGGGGAGCAAACAGGAUUAGAUACCCUGGUAGUCCACGCCGUAAACGAUGAGUGCUAGACGUCGGGGCCCUUAGGGCUUCGGUGUCGCAGCUACGACAUAGCACUCCGCCGUCGGGAGGUACGGCCGCGAACGUAAACGUACGAAAGAAGUAGACGGCGUGAAGACGUGCGAACGGACGACGACGAGGGAGGAGG
rnacentral:rRNA from 1 species